GAUGAACGCUGGCGGCGUGCCUAAUACAUGCAAGUAGAGCGAACGGACUAGAAGCUUGCUUCUCUGAUGUUAGCGGCGGACGUGUGAGUAACACGUGGAUAACCUGCCUAUAAGACUGGGAUAACUUCGGGAAACCGGAGCUAAUACCGGAUAAUAUUUUGAACUUCAUGGUUCAAAAGUGAAAGACGGUCUUGCUGUCACUUAUAGAUGGAUCCGCGCUGCAUUAGCUAGUUGGUAAGGUAACGGCUUACCAAGGCAACGAUGCAUAGCCGACCUGAGAGGGUGAUCGGCCACACUGGAACUGAGACACGGUCAAGACUCCUACGGGAGGCAGCAGUAGGGAAUCUUCCGAAAGGGGCGAAAGCCUGACGGGGCAACGCCGCGUGAGUGAGGAGGGUCUUCGGAUCUUAAGACUCUGUUAUUAGGAAAAAACAUAUGUGGAAGUAACUGUGCACAUCGUGACGGUACCUAAUCAGAAAGCCACGGCUAACUACGUG
rnacentral:rRNA from 1 species